AUGAACGCUGGCGGCGUGUCUAAGGCAUGCAAGUCGAACGGAUCACACGCGAUUACAUCAAAGGUGAUUAGUGGCAAACGGGAGCGUAACACAUUGGUAACUUACCCUGAAGUCGCGAAUAAUUCGCCGAAAGGCGGACUAAUACGCGAUAUGGAAGCGAGGACUCAAGUCAUUCGCUUUGAAAGCUUCGGCGCUUCAGGAGAGGCCUAUGUUCUAUCAGCUAGUUGGUGAGGUAAUGGCUCACCAAGGCUAUGACGGAUACCAGGCGUGAGAGCGCGACCUGGCUCACUGGGACUGAGACACUGCCCAGACACCUACGGGUGGCUGCAGUCAAGAAUCUUCCUCAAUGGACGAAAGUCUGAAGGAGCGACGCCGCGUGCCGGAUGAAGGUCUUCGGAUCGUAAACGGCUUUUAUAGGGGACGAACAAAUGACGGUACCCUAAGAAUAAGAGGUUGCUAACUCUGU
rnacentral:rRNA from 1 species